CGAACUAGUUUGAGCUAAAUAGCCCGGGCUUUUAGGCCAAUGAUGUGCGUUAUAUAGUGCAAUUUAAAGGGCUACUUAGGGGUGAAAGGCUUCCCAAAAACUAAGAUAUCUUGAUAUCAUAAAAAUGUAUUUAGUACUUCAGGCAAAUAUAGAGUGGUUAGGCUUUAUAUACUUAUAAUGUUUAUUUUAUAGAAAUAAUGGUAUAACCAUCUAUUACUUUCUAAGGCUAUUAUUCUAAUUUUAAUUAUGUAUCUUAUAUGUGAUACUGUAUAAAUUUAAAUUAACAUUGAUAAUGUUCUCAUAAGUACUUUUUUAAGACCAUGAUAAUGAACUCGGCAAGAUUUUCUUCAACUGUUUAUCAAAAACAUAACUAUAUGAGGGUAUAUGUAGCUAUUUCUGCUCAAUGUUUCUAUAAAUAGCCGCAGUACUUUGACUGUGCAAAGGUAGCAUAAUCAAUUGACUUAUAAUUGAAGUCUAGAAUGAAAGAAUCUAUGGGGAAAUACUGUUUCAUUUUGGUGGUAGGAAAUUAUUUAUUAGGUGAAAAAACCUAUAGAUAAAAAAUAGACGAGAAGACCCUUGAAAUUUUAAUUAAAAAGUUAAAAAAUAUCUUUUUGUUGGGGCGACAAAGUAGCAAUAGAAAACCUACUUAGAGAAUAUGUAUUAUUUAUAAAGGUUAAAUAAAUUACUCUAGGGAUAACAGCAUAAUAUUUUAAAGUUUGUGACCUCGAUGUUGGACUAGGAAAAUAUAGUUUAGAAGACUAUUAUAAAGGCUCUGUU
rnacentral:rRNA from 1 species